GGAAGUAAAAGCGUAACAAGGUUUCCGUAGGUGAACCUGCGGAAGGAUCAUUAAAAAUGAAGCCGGGAAACCGGUCCUUCUAACCCUUGAUUAUCUUAAUUUGUUGCUUUGGUGGGCCGCGCAAGCACCGGCUUCGGCUGGAUCGUGCCCGCCAGAGGACACAACUCUGUAUCAAAUGUCGUCUGAGUACUAUAAAAUAGUUAAAACUUUCAACAACGGAUCUCUUGGUUCUG
rnacentral:misc_RNA from 1 species